rnacentral:tRNA from 801 species
GCCCGGAUAGCUCAGUCGGUAGAGCAGAGGAUUGAAAAUCCUCGUGUCGGUGGUUCGAUUCCGCCUCCGGGCACCA